rnacentral:rRNA from 1 species
UACGGAGGGGACUAGCGUUGUUCGGAAUUACUGGGCGUAAAGCGCACGCAGGCGGAUUUGUAAGUCAGGGGUGAAAUCCCGGGGCUCAACCUCGGAACUGCCUUUGAGACUGCAAAUCUCGAGUCCGGAAGAGGUGAGUGGAAUUCCUAGUGUAGAGGUGAAAUUCGUAGAUAUUAGGAAGAACACCAGUGGCGAAGGCGGCUCACUGGUCCGGUACUGACGCUGAGGUGCGAAAGCGUGGGGAGCAAACAGG